rnacentral:rRNA from 1 species
UACGUAGGGUGCGAGCGUUGUCCGGAAUUAUUGGGCGUAAAGAGCUCGUAGGCGGUUUGUCGCGUCGGCCGUGAAAACUUGGGGCUUAACUCCAAGCUUGCGGUCGAUACGGGCAGACUUGAGUUCGGCAGGGGAGACUGGAAUUCCUGGUGUAGCGGUGAAAUGCGCAGAUAUCAGGAGGAACACCGGUGGCGAAGGCGGGUCUCUGGGCAAUAACUGACGCUGAGGAGCGAAAGCGUGGGGAGCGAACAGG